rnacentral:lncRNA from 1 species
GGGAAUAGAGACUCACAGGCUGGAUGAAGAAAACUGCCUGGGGAAGGGGAUCCCUCCUCCAGGCAGUGCUGGCAAGAGGCUCCCUAUGAUGGCACCUACUGUGGAUGAGGUACAGGGUUUUUAGACUCACAGCAGCUCCAAGGGCCUUUCCCUCUCCUUCGUUUUACAGUUUCAACAAGAACGAAGAAGGAAGCUGUUCGGCUUAAGCCAGAACAUCGCAUGUUGUGGGAGCAGCGGCUCAAGGAGGAGCAGAUGCAGAAGCCCAGGUAGCAGAGUGCAGCUGCCACCCACAGCCAGCCCUGCCUCUGACAGGGGAUACAGCCUGCUGGCGUGAAUGGUCCAUGCCACCAUGCCAUGUGAGGGACAAGGAGACUCCUCCUCAACUGUGAAAAACUCAACACACCACAUUCACAUAUGCGACACACAUUUUAUUUUUGCCUCUAUAAUUUUCCUGUCAUUUUACUUUAUUUUUAUUUGAAUUGUUUAAUUUUGUCACACAAAAUGUGAAAUUAUGUCACCCAAAAGGAAGAAGCAGUGUCUGUCAACAGAUAAAUGGAUAAACAAAAUCUGUUUGUACAUAUACAUUCAAUGUUAUAUUAUUCAGCCUUAAGAAGGAAGGAAAUUCUAACACAUGAUACAACGUGGAUGAACUUUGAGGAUAUUAUGCUAAGUGAAUAAAACAGUCACAAAAGGGCAAAUAUAGUAUGAUUCCACUUAUUCAAGAUAUGCAGAGUAGUUGAAUUCAUACAGACAGAAAGUAGAAUGGUUGUUGCCAGGGUAGCUCCACAUGGCCAGGGAGGCCUCACAAUCAUGGUGGAAGGCAAGGAGGAGCACAUCACAUCUUACAUGGAGACAGCAGGCAAAGAGAGCUUAUGCAGGGAAACUUCCGCUUUUAAAAACCAUCAGAUCUCAUGAGACUCACUCACUAUCAUGAGAACAGCACAGGGAAGACCCGCCCUCGUGAUUUAAUUAUCCCCCACCGGGUCCCUCCCACAACACGUGAGAAUUAUGGGAGCUACAAGAUGAGAGUUGGGUGGGGACACACAGCCAAACCAUAUCAGGGAGAUAGUGCUUAAUGGAUACAGAGAUUUAGUUUAGGAAGAUGAAAGAAGUUCUGGAGAUGGAUUAUAGUGAUAGUGUACAACAAUGUGAAUGUGCUUUAAUACUACUGAACUGUACACUUAAAAUGGUUAAAAUAGUAAAUUUCACAUUAUAUAUAUUUUACCACAGAAAAAAGGAGUUUUUAAUGUUUGGUUAUGAAAUAUUUUAAUCAUACAGAAAAAUACAUAUCAG